GCUUACCAUGCAGUCGAGCGGAACGAUGAUAGCUUGCUAUCAGGCGUCGAGCGGCGGACGGGUGAGUAAUACUUAGGAAUCUACCUAGUAGUGGGGGAUAGCACGGGGAAACUCGUAUUAAUACCGCAUACGACCUACGGGAGAAAGGGGGCAGUUUACUGCUCUCGCUAUUAGAUGAGCCUAAGUCGGAUUAGCUAGAUGGUGGGGUAAAGGCCUACCAUGGCGACGAUCUGUAGCUGGUCUGAGAGGAUGAUCAGCCACACCGGGACUGAGACACGGCCCGGACUCCUACGGGAGGCAGCAGUGGGGAAUAUUGGACAAUGGGGGAAACCCUGAUCCAGCCAUGCCGCGUGUGUGAAGAAGGCCUUUUGGUUGUAAAGCACUUUAAGCAGUGAAGAAGACUCCGUGGUUAAUACCCACGGACGAUGACAUUAGCUGCAGAAUAAGCACCGGCUAACUCUGUGCCAGCAGCCGCGGUAAUACAGAGGGUGCAAGCGUUAAUCGGAAUUACUGGGCGUAAAGGGAGCGUAGGUGGCUCUAUAAGUCAGAUGUGAAAUCCCCGGGCUCAACCUGGGAACUGCAUCUGAAACUGUAGAGCUAGAGUAUGUGAGAGGAAGGUAGAAUUCCAGGUGUAGCGGUGAAAUGCGUAGAGAUCUGGAGGAAUACCGAUGGCGAAGGCAGCCUUCUGGCAUAAUACUGACACUGAGGCUCGAAAGCGUGGGUAGCAAACAGGAUUAGAUACCCUGGUAGUCCACGCCGUAAACGAUGUCUACUAGUCGUUGGGUCCCUUGAGGACUUAGUGACGCAGCUAACGCAAUAAGUAGACCGCCUGGGGAGUACGGCCGCAAGGUUAAAACUCAAAUGAAUUGACGGGGGCCCGCACAAGCGGUGGAGCAUGUGGUUUAAUUCGAUGCAACGCGAAGAACCUUACCUGGUCUUGACAUAUCUAGAAUCCUGCAGAGAUGCGGGAGUGCCUUCGGGAAUUAGAAUACAGGUGCUGCAUGGCUGUCGUCAGCUCGUGUCGUGAGAUGUUGGGUUAAGUCCCGCAACGAGCGCAACCCUUGUCCUUAGUUACCAGCGGGUUAAGCCGGGAACUCUAAGGAUACUGCCAGUGACAAACUGGAGGAAGGCGGGGACGACGUCAAGUCAUCAUGGCCCUUACGACCAGGGCUACACACGUGCUACAAUGGUAGGUACAGAGGGCAGCUACACAGCGAUGUGAUGCGAAUCUCAAAAAGCCUAUCGUAGUCCAGAUUGGAGUCUGCAACUCGACUCCAUGAAGUAGGAAUCGCUAGUAAUCGCGGAUCAGAAUGCCGCGGUGAAUACGUUCCCGGGCCUUGUACACACCGCCCGUCACACCAUGGGAGUUGAUUGCACCAGAAGUGGAUAGCUUAACCUUCGGGGAGGCGUCACCACGG
rnacentral:rRNA from 1 species